rnacentral:rRNA from 1 species
UACGAAGGGGGCUAGCGUUGUUCGGAAUCACUGGGCGUAAAGCGCACGUAGGCGGAUCUUUAAGUCAGGGGUGAAAUCCCGAGGCUCAACCUCGGAACUGCCUUUGAUACUGGGGAUCUCGAGUCCGGGAGAGGUGAGUGGAACUGCGAGUGUAGAGGUGAAAUUCGUAGAUAUUCGCAAGAACACCAGUGGCGAAGGCGGCUCACUGGCCCGUAACUGACGCUGAGGUGCGAAAGCGUGGGGAGCAAACAGG